rnacentral:sRNA from 1 species
GAAACCAAGAAAUCAUCAAAUCAUCUACUUAUCCAUAUAAGAACUAUCUGUCUAUGAGGAAGGAGGCUGGGCACUGGAGAAGUGGGUAGCAUGCUACUUCGUCAGGCAAACUUCUACUGCGGUGAGACUCCCCAAUGUCGAGAGGGCAGCGGUGAUCACACAGCAGGGUGUGCGCCAUCUCCUAAAGAGUAGUCCAGCAGUUAGAGGAGCGUGGCUCUUCCGACCACGCCACGGGUAACAGGAACAUCUUUUGCUGGCUUAUAAGGUAUGUGCAGUAACUUAAAAAAGGCUGAACAAGAUCGUGCAGAUUAAACAUCAGACUAAACAUGAACAGUUAGUAUGAAUCUUCAAUACUGUCUUUUGAAAUUUAUUCUGUCUCCACAGUAACAGAACCUUGUGUGUGUGUGUGUGUGUGUGUGUGUGUGUGUGUGUACACUUGUGUGCAUUCACAUGCACACGUAUACUUGUUUUUAGAAUGUCUGAGUAAGCUGUGGCUGACAGGAUGGAAAUAAGUGCAGUAGUUUCCAGAAAUCUCUAAGACAGCCAGUGCCUUGCAUCUGACCAUCCCACUCCUAGCCUCCUCCGUUCUGAUGCAGAAGAGGUGCCUCACUGGAUCACGGGCCAGGAAAUAAAUGUGAUCAAAGUGGAGCACAAGCAAAAGGGACCCAGGUCUCCAAAUACUCCACUGCCCUAAGCUCUCUGACUGGCCGAAUUCCAGGGAGAGGUAAUAAUCUACUUUAACAUAAGUCACUGUCCUCCCUUUCCUGGUCACUUACCGGACUUAAGCUUACCUAAUAGAGAGUGCUAUUUCUUCUGGUGCUGAAGUUAGGUAAAGUUUCCUCUCUUUAAUCUCACCUAAGGGCCUAAACACUCAGUAACUCCAGCAUUUUCUUUGCACUCAUGCACAUAUUAAAGGAGAGAAUACUAAACACACGACUUCUGACAGCCUGAUCCCCACUCCUCAGGGACUGGCCUAUGCUGUGCUGUGUGUCAGCCAGGAUGCAGGCAACUACAAUGACCCUCCGGCCAGCAGCCACCACACUCCUUAAAUGAGUCAAUGAAAAGGGGGGUGGGGAUGAGAAGACUAAGGCUGAGAAAGCACAUCGGCAGGAGUGCACAGUGGCCUAUGCACGUCUGGAGAGACCUGCUGUUGCCAAGCAGCUGUAGGCAGGAGCGGCUGCAUACUCCAUUAGUAGCUGAGCAGAGAAGAAAGGAGCCGGCCAUUGAGGAGGGGAACAUCACUUGUUUGUUUGCUUUUUGAUUUUUUUUUUUUAAGCUCAUCUUGGGCCAAGGGCAAAGAGCUGGGAAGAUGCUGUGAAAACACAGGCAUGAUGAUGAGGACCUGAGCUACUGUCCCAGGAAAUGCUCACUGAGUGUGGGGAAUCAAGACAGCUUAGUGACCAAGGUUGGGGUACAGGGGCUGGCAGCAGGGAGGUGAGUGCAAGGCUAAGCCUUGGCUUUCUGGUGCUGAUCAUUAACUAGUACCUUUAACUGGUCAAGGGAUGAUGAACUGCACUUCUUCAGUGGACAAUGUGGGGCAGGCACUUGGUGAUACUCUGAGAAACACUGUAAAGUUAGGUAACAAAUGUUGGCUGGAGCUAGAGACUCAGAUUCAACCUUAACAUAGGACAUGUUGUGAGAACUAGAACGACAAAAGAACUAUGGGGAUCAGGGACAGAGGAGGCAGUGAGUCACACAGAAAAGGAGCAGGAACAACCAGAGCAGAGGGCACAGCCCCCAGGCUAGGAUAAGAAGUGAAGGAAGAUGGGGUGGCAAGCCCCUCUGCACCUAGAGUAGAAAGCCAUGGGCAACCAUCACCAUCACCUCCCUCAAACUAGCAGAGACUGUUAGUUUACUAGUUAGUUAUUAAACAGUGUUUUAUAUCCGAUGCUCUCCCAGAGGACCUUGGUUUGGUUUCAAAUACUGACAUGGCAGCUCAAAACUGUAACUCCAGUCCUAAGGGACCCACACACCCUCUUCUGGCAUCCUUGGGCACCAGGCAUGCCUGUGCUGCAUACACAUAUGGAAGCAAACACAUGCAUAUCAAAAGUAAAAAUAAAAAAUUCACUAAAGACUAGAGACUUGAAUGCGGAUAACUGCAUUAGCUAGGGAGGCAGAGGACUGGAAGACACCAAGGGGAACAGACACUAAAGGGUUUCUCUUAGAGCUGUUAGAUAGCAACCAGGUAAUGCUUCCAGCUCUCACUGGGUGCUGACGUUUAUUUCACUGUAGCGACACUGCUUUGCUUGUGCUUACACAGUUAAAUAAGUCAAUGCUGGCUCUUUUUCUCAGGCUAUUAUAAUAACUCUACCAUUAAAUUAUACAAGAGAGGACUGUGGGAUUCUGUAGCCCCAGUACUAACUCAGAGCAUCAAGCCUACCAUGCUGUGUACGGUGAGGGCUUGGUCAAUGCUGCUGAGCCCUAAAACCACUCAUGUCUACAGUGCUGAGUGGAAACGGCAGAGACUGUGGGAAGAGGGUAGAUUAAGCCCCGCUCAGUUUUCACCACUUAAUAGCGUUGUGACUAACAGCAAGAUGCUCCACCUCCUGCAGUACAAGUGUGUCAGGCAGCACUAAUUCUUUCUGCAAAAAAAGCACAUCCAUCUAAUUAGCAGGCAAAUCUGAUCUUUUCCUUUAAUAAAUGGUAAAAUUAUAUAUACCAAGUAAUUGCUUUAAAAUAAAUCUUUCUGAUUAUCAGGAAAUGUUUGAUUUAUAUAUUUUAUCUAUCUACAUACUGAGGUGAUGUAAAAUUCCUUGGAUGAAAGGAGUCACAAGUGAACAAAGUUUUACAAAGCCCUGCUCUGUGGACUACCUGGAUCACAGGGCAUUGGAGAGACUACAGUGUGCUACUUGGAUUACAAGGCUGCAGUACGGCUCCAAACUAUACAUGCUGUUCAUUCUGUGUGGACAUUAUCACGUUGUUCAUUCUGUGUGGACAUUACGGUGAGGUGCAAAACCCAUGGA